CCUACGGGUGUCAGCAGUAGGGAAUAUUGCUCAAUGGGGGAAACCCUGAAGCAGCAACGCCGCGUGGAGGAUGAAGGUUUUCGGAUUGUAAACUCCUUUUGUUAGAGAAGAUAAUGACGGUAUCUAACGAAUAAGCACCGGCUAACUCCGUGCAAGCAGCCGCGGGAAUACGGAGGGUGAUAGCGUUACUCGGAAUCACUUGUCGUAAGGAGCGCGUAGGCGGGAUAGCAAGUCAGAUGUGAAAUCCUAUGGCUUAACCAUAGAACUGCAUUUGAAAUUGUUAUUCUAGAGUAUGGGCUAGGUAGGUGGAAUUCUUGGUGUAGGGGUAAAAUCCGUAGAGAUCAAGAGGAAUACUCAUUGCGAAGGCGACCUGCUAGAACAUAACUGACGCUGAUGCGCGAAAGCGUGGGGAGCAAACAGGAUUAGAUACCCUUGUAGUC
rnacentral:rRNA from 1 species